UUUUUUUUUUUUUUUUUUUGUAGAGGUAGAAUCUCCCUAUGUUGCCCAGCCUGGUGUGAACUCCUCGCCUCAAGUGAUCUCUCCGCCUCCGCCUCCCAAAGUAUUGGGAUUACAGGCAUAAGCCACCACACCCAGGCAGAAACACAAAUCUUUAGUGAGGUAGCAUUCCAUUUAGCUACAGAAGCACUUGGCAUACAGUUGACCUUUAAACAACUCGGGUUUGAAAUGCGUGGAUUUUACAUGUGGGGUUUUCUAACCAAACGUGGAUCAAAAACGCGGUACUCACACGAUACAAAAACAACAUACACAGAGGACUGAAUUUUCAUUUGCAUGUUUUCUGCCGGGUCAACCGUGGGACUUGAGUAUGCACAGAUUUUACUGUACUCAGGUGUCCUGGAACCAAUUCCUCACAUAUACCAAGGGACAACUGUAAUGUGAACACAAACCCAUAAACAGUGCGGCGUUACCAGCCUUCCCAGGAUGCAUGUGGCGGACAGAGGAGUCAGUGUCAAGAAGCGCUCCACUGAGAGCUGGGGGCCUCUGAGCUGGAGCUUACUGACAAGUGGAAGAUGCCCAGAUAAUAGGGUGCCAUGACAGAUUGUGGUGGUAGCAUUGUGAGCUGGUUGACAGCACAGAACUCUGGAAUCAGAUGGCCUGGAUUCAAAUCCUGAACUCACCCCUUAUUGGCUGUGUGAGCUUAGGCAAGUUACUCACCCUCUCUGUGCCCCAAUUUCUUCAUCUGCAAAAUGGGAAUAAUGAUAAUGGCGUUAUGGUUUACUGAAAGGAUUAAAUGAGUUAAUAUGUCUAAGUACUUAGAACAGCAUGCAGCACCAUACUAAGUGAUACAGAAGUAUUUGCUGUUUUUAUACAGAGCUUAGCGGCAUGAAGAAGUUAGACAAGCAAUGAGGAAUUCAAGAUGGUGUCCUGGAGUAGAAGAGAAAUCCGUUCUGGAAGGGAGACGUAGAUUACAGGACACACAGAGAUUUGGGUCUGGUUUCCAUGGCUGGAGGAAGGCGACAGUUGGCGAAUCCCUGCCCAUGUAGUGAUGUCCAGCAGAAACUGUCCUGAGACACAUCUUUGUCAUUCCACUAUUGCUCUGUCUCUGUACUUUCUCUUACCCUUCUUCCUGUCUGAAAACCUCUAGUCCUUUUAAUCAUAUGAAAUGUUCACGUUUUCCCAUCACAUCUUUUUAUAUAUGUAUGUCUGGGUGUAGGAAAUUUCUGUGCACCCCCAAGGACACCUGCAGCUCCUUUCUCUUUGAGUUUGGUGUGUGCCGGGAGGGUGGUCAGAAAACAGCCGUAGCCCCUCCUUUGCAACUGUUUCUGCUCUAGUCUUUUUGAUGGUGCAAGGUGUACCCUAGGGCUGAUUGUGUUCCUGGGAGCCGGAAGCUGUUACUGCAGGGUUAAAUCAGCAACAGGAGAGCAACACUCCCAGCAACCUCAGAAAGAAUAGAGAACGAUGUUCUUGAAGGGAGCUGGGAACUGUGUUCCUAGUGCCGUCUUCUUAAAAAAAAAAAAGUUUCCUUCCCCCUCUUCUCUCUGCCA
rnacentral:lncRNA from 1 species